GAAAGAAAGAAAGAAAGGAACAAUAGUAUAGUUAACAGAGACAUACCUAGUUGCUUCGCGAUAGAGAGGGGUAAGAAGUUUCGAGGAUAGUUUGUUGGGAUUGACCAAGAACGAGAGAACACCCGGCGAUAAUCGGUGUCGCAGCCGGUGUUCGAUGAGAACCGAACAAGAUUUGGUGCAUACCCAGCGUACGUGAAAAGAUCCUCGGGCACGAGGACGGGGCGCCGAAGAGAUCGUCCUCGACAACGACGAUCACGACGACAACGAUGCUGCGCUCGCCGGCGCGCGUCGUUCUCCAGGAUUCUUCCGCCUCGACGUCCUCGACCCUGUCGGCGCCACCGACGCCGGUCCACCACGGCGCCGCCACCAGCUCCACCGUCUCCUCGCGUCUUUCCCUCCUCGACACCUGCCACAGGAAGAUCAGGUUCUUCGGCGAGCUUGUCGCAAAAGCCCGACGAAAGGAGAAGGAUGCGGGAACUACAGAGGAUCCGAAAUUGUACCUUGAAGAAGCGGCCCUUGAAAGGCAGCUACCAGAGCUGGACUUGAGGAUGUUGGUCGAUUUACCACCCGGUUUGGACUACAACGAAUGGCUGGCCUCUCACACCCUCGCACUAUUCGAUCACAUCAAUCUCAUUUACGGAACGAUAUCCGAGUUCUGCACGAUGACGGGCUGUCCCGAUAUGACCGGUCCUGGCUUAAGAACUUAUCUGUGGUUUGAUGAGAAAGGGAAGAAAACGAGAGUGGCAGCGCCACAAUAUAUAGAUUAUGUUAUGACUUUUACACAACGCACCGUUAGUGACGAAACUAUAUUUCCUACGAAAUAUGCAAAUGAAUUUCCUAGCUCGUUCGAAUCGAUAGUGCGUAAGAUCCUGCGGCUACUGUACCAUGUGGUGGCACACAUUUACCACUGCCACUUCAGAGAGGUAGCACUUUUGGGGUUGCACGCUCACCUCAAUUGUGUGUUUGCCCACCUCACGCUCCUUAAUCAACGCUUCAACCUUAUUGAUCCCAAGGAAACGGAGAUCUUAGGAGACUUAGAGGCUGCCCUCUUGGGUGACUCGACAUCAUCGUCAGCGCCUUCAUCACAAACCUUAGCCAUCCAGGAGACUCCGACCACAGCCACCUAGAUCGCAAUGCACAGCAAGCAAGAGGUUGCAGUUCCUGAGACUAGGUGACGAUAGGCGUUUCGUUUGUUUUUUUUUUCCCACCUUAUUCUUUCUCUUCUCUCCUCUUCCCUUUUUUUCUCUCUUCUCUUUUUUUUUUCUCUCUUUCUAUUUCCCCUUUUCCUCUUCUCUCUUUCUCUUUUCCAUUCUGUUUUCUAAAUAGAAGAUGCGAACGACAGAGUUUAAGCAUUAACGACUACAUACGCAGGUGGAGCGAAAGCGCAAUUCUGUAAAAACCAGUAGUACCUGUACAUAGCGAAGUGUGAACAACUACAUGAUGUAAUUAGGUUCCUCCGUUUGUUGUUUGUGAGAUUGUACAUAAUUUAUUAAACAGUAAGAUAUACGAAAGAGA